rnacentral:lncRNA from 1 species
UUCAAAGACGCAGAACACCCUCUCCUGUUAGACGGAGAUCGCCCUCUCCAGUUCGACGACGAAGAUCACCCUCUCCAGUACGACGACGCAGAUCACCACCUUCUCCAGUACGACGACGCAGAUCACCACCUUCUCCCGUACGACAACGCAGAUCACCUUAUCCUGCACGGAGACGCAGAUCUCCCUCUCCUGUGCGACGACGCAGAUCACCUUCUCCUAUACGACGACGUAGAUCACCUUCUCCAAUGAACCGACGGAGAUCACCAUCACCUAUUAGACGAAGGUCACCCUCACCACUGCAACAGAGAUCUCCUAGUAUGCGGCGCAGGUCACCUUCACCGAUGCGUCGAAUACCACUAAGCCGUGGACGGAGGUCAAGCUCUCCAAUGCAAUCCCCC